CCCGCGGUAGCUCAGCCUGGUAGAGCUUCCGAGCCGCGUUAAACGGCGGAGACGCUGUAGAUGUGUGCCUUCUGGCAUGUAUCACCCAGCCUAUCGGGCGAACAUUAGAAACCGGAGUGUCGCCUGUUCAAAUCAGGCCCGCGGGACCA
rnacentral:tRNA from 1 species